CACGUAGGGUGCGAGCGUUGUCCGGAAUUAUUGGGCGUAAAGAGCUCGUAGGCGGUGUGUCGCGUCGGCCGUGAAAACCUGCAGCUUAACUGUGGGCUUGCGGUCGAUACGGGCAUCACUGGAGGUUCGGCAGGGGAGACUGGAAUUCCGUGGUGUAGCGGUGAAAUGCGCAGACUAUCAGGAGGAACACCGGUGGCCGAAGGCGGGUCU
rnacentral:rRNA from 1 species